rfam:Cavia porcellus supercont2_25 genomic scaffold, whole genome shotgun sequence.
GGGGAUUUAGCUCAUUGGCAUAAGCACCUGCCUUGCAAGCAGGCAGUCCUGAGUUCGAUCCCCAGUACCG